AUUUAUUUUUAUUGGGGUAGCCCCCCAAAUAUUGGGACAUAUAAAAAAGACAACUCUGUUCCGCAGAGUAGCUGUUGACAUUAUAGUUGCGCAGGCACUUUGUUGACUCUAGAGAACCUCGGGCCAAUCGCACAUCCCCGUGACGGCGACUUUGCAUUUGGAUGUCAUCCAUAUCAACUUUCGAUGCCAGUUUCUGCGCCUACCAUGGUGACCACGGGUAACGGGGAAUCAGGGUUCCAUUCCGUACAGGGACCCUGAGAAACGGCUACCACAUGCAAGGAAGGCAGCAGGCGCGCAAAUGACCCACUCCCGACGCGGGAAGGUAGUGACGACAAAUAACAAUACAGGACUCUUUAGAGGCCCUGUAAUUGUAAUGAGU